AGAACCUGGAAUGCAAGGAGCCGCUUCGCUGGUCCCGCGCGGUCUCUUGCGUUCCUGUAGCUGGCAGCUGACUCCCCAUUCCCGAGUACUGUCCUCAGGCGGAACGGCGUCUGCAGCGAGGAGCGGGGUUCCAGCCGGCUAAGCUGACGCGGUCCCUGGCAUUUCCCGUGCUGGCCUUGGGUCGCCCUCGAUGCUGCUUCCCGUUGGGAGCCUCCUUCUGACGGCGGAAAGGAGCUUUACCUGAGGCGGCCGGCGGGGAACGGAGAAGAAUCCACUGGGGAAGUGGACGGGGCUGGCUCCCGGGCCUGGCGCUGCGGCUCUCGGGCUGUCAGACCUCCCGCGGGUUGCGUCACUUUCCUCUGUUUUCUAGACAGCAGUUGUGGGGUUGAAUCUUUGCCGUGGUUUUGUAAGAAUUAAAUGAGAUAAUGAACGCGAA
rnacentral:lncRNA from 1 species